AAGUCGUAACAAGGUUUCCGUAGGUGAACCUGCGGAAGGAUCAUUACCGAGCGCGGGGUCCAGCCCCAACCUCCCAACCCUUUGCAUACCUAUCCUGUUGCUUUGGCGGGUGGGCCUCCCGGGGCCCGCCACCCCUAGAUAGCCUAGGGGUGAGCCCGUCAAGGGGCCGUAUCAAACCCUAUAAUAGUGGGCUCUGAGUGUUGGCAAAUAGAACAAAACUUUCAACAACGGAUCUCUUGGCUCUA
rnacentral:misc_RNA from 1 species